rnacentral:rRNA from 1 species
UUGGAGGGCAAGUCUGGUGCCAGCAGCCGCGGUAAUUCCAGCUCCAAUAGCGUAUAUUAAAGUUGUUGCAGUUAAAAAGCUCGUAGUUGAAUUUCGGGAUCAGAGUGUCGGUCGUGCCUCGGUACGAACUGGUAUUAUUGGUUCCUACCUUCUGAAGAACCGCGAUGUCAUUAAUUUGGUGUCGUGGGGAAUCAGGACUGUUACUUUGAAAAAACUAGAGUGUUUAAAGCAGGCUUACGCUUGAAUACAUUAGCAUGGAAUAAUGAAAUAGGACGUUUGAUUCUAUUUUGUUGGUUUCUAGGAUUGACGUAAUGAUUAAUAGGGAUAGUUGGGGGCAUUAGUAUUCAAUUGUCAGAGGUGAAAUUCUUGGAUUUAUUGAAGACUAACUACUGCGAAAGCAUUUGCCAAGGAUGUUUUCAUUAAUCAAGAACGAAAGUUAGGGGAUCGAAGACGAUCAGAUACCGUCGUAGUCUUAACCAUAAACUAUGCCGACUAGGGAUCGGAUGAUGUUAAUUUUUUAAUGACUCAUUCGGCGCCUUACGGGAAAC